ACUGGGCGUAAGCGCAUGCAGGUGGUUUGUUAAGUCAGAUGUGAAAGCCCGGGGCUCAACCUCGGAAUAGCAUUUGAAACUGGCAGGCUAGAGUACUGUAGAGGGGGGUAGAAUUUCAGGUGUAGCGGGUGAAAUGCGUAGAGAUCUGAAGGAAUACCGGUGGCGAAGGCGGCCCCCUGGACAGAUACUGACACUCAGAUGCGAAAGCGUGGGGAGCAAACAGGAUUAGAUACCCUGGUAGUCCACGCCGUAAACGAUGUCUACUUGGAGGUUGUGGCCUUGAGCCGUGGCUUUCGGAGCUAACGCGUUAAGUAGACCGCCUGGGGAGUACGGUCGCAAGAUUAAAACUCAAAUGAAUUGACGGGGGCCCGCACAAGCGGUGGAGCAUGUGGUUUAAUUCGAUGCAACGCGAAGAACCUUACCUACUCUUGACAUCCAGAGAACUUUUCAGAGAUGAAUUGGUGCCUUCGGGAACUCUGAGACAGGUGCUGCAUGGCUGUCGUCAGCUCGUGUUGUGAAAUGUUGGGUUAAGUCCCGCAACGAGCGCAACCCUUAUCCUUGUUUGCCAGCGAGUAAUGUCGGGAACUCCAGGGAGACUGCCGGUGAUAAACCGGAGGAAGGUGGGGACGACGUCAAGUCAUCAUGGCCCUUACGAGUAGGGCUACACACGUGCUACAAUGGCGCAUACAGAGGGCGGCCAACUUGCGAAAGUGAGCGAAUCCCAAAAAGUGCGUCGUAGUCCGGAUUGGAGUCUGCAACUCGACUCCAUGAAGUCGGAAUCGCUAGUAAUCGUGGAUCAGAAUGCCACGGUGAAUACGUUCCCGGGCCUUGUACACACCGCCCGUCACACCAUGGGAGUGGGCUGCAAAAGAAGUAGGUAGUUAACCUUCGGGGGGACGCUUA
rnacentral:rRNA from 1 species